rnacentral:rRNA from 1 species
AGACGUCUACAUUAGACUACCCCCGUAGUCCCAGCCGUAAACUAUGCGCGUUAGGUGUAUCGGUGACCACGAGUUACCGAGGUGCCGAAGGGAAACCGUGAAACGUGCCGCCUGGGAAGUACGGUCGCAAGGCUGAAACUUAAAGGAAUUGGCGGGGAGCACCACAACAGGUGGAGCCUGCGGUUUAAUUGGACUCAACGCCGGGAAGCUCACCGGAUAAGACAGCGGAAUGAUUGCCGGGCUGAAGACUCUGCAUGACUAGCUG